ensembl:misc_RNA
CUGCUCAGACAAGGGGUGCUCUUGGAGCCCCCACACCUCUAGCCGUGCUUUGAAGGCUCUGCCAAGCCCACUUUUAAUCCUGAGAAAGAAAUCACCCACACGGAGUCCGCAGAAAAUGAGAAAGUGGAGCUCGUGCUGCGAAUCGUUCCAGCCAGGGCCCCGGGGCUAGUGGAGGAACGGCCGUGGGG